rnacentral:rRNA from 1 species
AUUGAACGCUGGCGGCAGGCUUAACACAUGCAAGUCGAGCGAGCGGCGGACGGGUGAGUAAUGUCUGGGAAACUGCCUGAUGGAGGGGGAUAACUACUGGAAACGGUAGCUAAUACCGCAUACCAUCAGAUGUGCCCAGAUGGGAUUAGCUAGUAGGUGGGGUAAUGGCUCACCUAGGCGACGAUCCCUACCUGGUCUGAGAGGAUGACCAGCAACACUGGAACUGAGAAACGGUCCAGACUACGACGGGUGGCAGCAGUGGGGAAUAGUGCACAAUGGGCGCAAGCCGGAUGCAGCCAUGCGGCGUGUGGGAAGAAGGCCUUCGGUUUGUAAAGCACUUUCAGCGAGGAGGCGUUACUCGCAGAAGAAGCACCGGCUAACUCCGUGCCAGCUGCCGCGGUAAUAC